UGACACUUUAUAAGGGCCCGCCCCGUUACUGAUUUAAUUUGGUCAAGGAACACAAGCCACCAUGGGAGCAGCGGAAGCGGCGACUCGUCCGAUAAGCACUGUAUAUCUGGGACACUAUUGAUCCUUGUCGGUUGUGUUGCCUGGUCUUGUUUCUAUGUUCUGCAAUCAAUUACCAUAAAGAAAUACACAGCGGAAAUCUCUCUUCCUCC